rnacentral:sRNA from 1 species
UAGUAGAUGCACCCUGAUAAUUUUCUACCCUCAGCCAGUUUUGGCCGAGGGCUUUUUAU